rnacentral:rRNA from 1 species
UUUCGAAUCAUCCACAAUGGGCGAAAGCCUGAUGGUGCGACGCCGCGUGAGGGAUGAAGGUCCUCGGAUUGUAAACCUCUGUCACCAGGGAGCAAAAACUAGACUCAUACUCUAGCUUGAGUUAACCUGGAGAGGAAGUAGUGGCAAACUCCGUGCCAGCAGCCGCGGUAAUACGGAGACUACGAGCGUUACUCGGAUUUACUGGGCGUAAAGGGUGCGUAGGCGGUCAGAUGUGUUAGGUGUGAAAGCCUGGGGCUUAACCUAGGAACUGCAAUUAAGACUGUCCAUCUAGAGUUGAGUAGAGGGGAGCGGAAUUUCCGGUGUAGCGGUGAAAUGCGUAGAUAUCGGAAGGAACAUCAGUUGCGAAGGCGGCUCUCUGGACUCAAACUGACGCUGAGGCACGAAAGCGUGGGUAGCGAACAGGAUUAGAUACCCAAGUAGUCCCUGAGCGGGCUGGCAAGGCGCAU